CCCUCUCCUCCUUCUCACCCCCUCCCCCCUCCCCACCCAAGACUCAACCCUGACUUGGAGGGCCAGCCAGGGGCUUUGCAGCGGGCCAGCCUUCCACGAGGGGUGGGCCGGGCCGAAGCGAGGCGAGGCGAGGCAAGGCGAGGCGAGGCGAGCCCCGGCAUUUUCCUUUCCCCAGCACCUGUCCCACUUAAGCGCAGGGGCUGGGGCUGCGCCCGCGGGCGUCCUCAGUGCCCAACGCCGGAGCCACGCAUGGAGGCCGUCUCGGGGUCGGCGUGCCUGAGGACGGUCAGUCUCGUAAGAGGAAAGUGGUCACCACUGAAACUCGUGUCGCCCCCGGAAUUACUUAGGUAACGCUUGGGGGGGGGUAAGAAUAAGGGGGGGAUGGGGAAGCCCCUCCGGAGUGAC
rnacentral:lncRNA from 1 species